UACGGGGGGGGCAAGCGUUGUUCGGAAUUACUGGGCGUAAAGGGCUCGUAGGCGGCCAACUAAGUCAGACGUGAAAUCCCCAGGCUCAACCUGGGAACUGCGUCUGAUACUGGAUGGCUUGAAUCCGGGAGAGGGAUGCAGAAUUCCAGGUGUAGCGGUGAAAUGCGUAGAUAUCUGGAGGAAUACCGGUGGCGAAGGCGGCAUCCUGGACCGGCAUUGACGCUGAGGAGCGAAAGCUAGGCGAGCAAACGGG
rnacentral:rRNA from 1 species